GCAGGAGCUUGCUCUUGUGGAUCAGUGGCGAACGGGUGAGUAACACGUGAGUAACCUGCCCUUGACUCUGGGAUAAGCGUUGGAAACGACGUCUAAUACCGGAUACGAGCUGAGACCGCAUGGUCAUCAGUUGGAAAGAAUUUUGGUCAAGGAUGGACUCGCGGCCUAUCAGCUUGUUGGUGAGGUAAUGGCUCACCAAGGCGACGACGGGUAGCCGGCCUGAGAGGGUGACCGGCCACACUGGGACUGAGACACGGCCCAGACUCCUACGGGAGGCAGCAGUGGGGAAUAUUGCACAAUGGGCGCAAGCCUGAUGCAGCAACGCCGCGUGAGGGAUGACGGCCUUCGGGUUGUAAACCUCUUUUAGUAGGGAAGAAGCGAAAGUGACGGUACCUGCAGAAAAAGCACCGGCUAACUACGUGCCAGCAGCCGCGGUAAUACGUAGGGUGCAAGCGUUGUCCGGAAUUAUUGGGCGUAAAGAGCUCGUAGGCGGUUUGUCGCGUCUGCUGUGAAAACUGGAGGCUCAACCUCCAGCCUGCAGUGGGUACGGGCAGACUAGAGUGCGGUAGGGGAGAUUGGAAUUCCUGGUGUAGCGGUGGAAUGCGCAGAUAUCAGGAGGAACACCGAUGGCGAAGGCAGAUCUCUGGGCCGUAACUGACGCUGAGGAGCGAAAGCGUGGGGAGCGAACAGGAUUAGAUACCCUGGUAGUCCACGCCGUAAACGUUGGGAACUAGAUGUGGGGACCAUUCCACGGUCUCCGUGUCGCAGCUAACGCAUUAAGUUCCCCGCCUGGGGAGUACGGCCGCAAGGCUAAAACUCAAAGGAAUUGACGGGGGCCCGCACAAGCGGCGGAGCAUGCGGAUUAAUUCGAUGCAACGCGAAGAACCUUACCAAGGCUUGACAUAUACGAGAACGGGCCAGAAAUGGUCAACUCUUUGGACACUCGUAAACAGGUGGUGCAUGGUUGUCGUCAGCUCGUGUCGUGAGAUGUUGGGUUAAGUCCCGCAACGAGCGCAACCCUCGUUCUAUGUUGCCAGCACGUUAUGGUGGGAACUCAUAGGAGACUGCCGGGGUCAACUCGGAGGAAGGUGGGGAUGACGUCAAAUCAUCAUGCCCCUUAUGUCUUGGGCUUCACGCAUGCUACAAUGGCCGGUACAAAGGGCUGCAAUACCGUAAGGUGGAGCGAAUCCCAAAAAGCCGGUCUCAGUUCGGAUUGAGGUCUGCAACUCGACCUCAUGAAGUCGGAGUCGCUAGUAAUCGUGAAUCAGCAACGUCACGGUGAAUACGUUCCCGGGCCUUGUACACACCGCCCGUCAAGUCAUGAAAGUCGGUAACACCCGAAGCCGGUGGCCC
rnacentral:rRNA from 1 species